ensembl:lincRNA Gm6567 predicted gene 6567
UGAGCUCACAGAGCUCUACCUCCCUCUGCCUCUCAAGUGCUAGGAUCAAAGGUUUGUGCCACCACCGCCACCACUCAGCAAAAAUGACUUUUUUUUUCUUUAAGGUUUUCUGAAGAUAAUGUGGGCAUUGGUGUCCACGCUUGUAAAAUGAGGAUGGUUCUAUCUACCGUCCCAUGGGGAUCACAUGGCGUAGACCUGCUGCGCUUUUUGUGGAACCUAGAUAUAUAUAGUCCCAAGUUCCCUAGUGAGAAAGAGCUAAGCAAUUCUUUGUGUGUGUGUGUGUUGUGUAGGCAGUGCGUUUGGUUGUCUCUGUAUAACAUGAUGGGCCAUGUCUGUUUUGGAGUGGUGGUGGAUGAAGGCUAUGUUGAGAAGGAAAGACCUAGGAGCUGUGACUUGCAGCCCAAGGCAAAGAAGACAAUUCUGAGGUUGGGACAUAGCCAGGCUGCCUUCAAAAGUGAUGACCCAAUCCCAGGGUUUUGCAAAGCUGAACAUCCAUAGAUGAUUUCAGUGCAGAGUAGCUGACCUGAUUGUGUUCCAUGGAAACCAUCCGUUUGGAGACCCUAGCUGGGGAAGGUCAUGGUGAAAAUCUUCAAGCCUCCAUGAGUUGCAGAAACAAGAGAGGCAUGUGUGCAUCUAUCUGGAUGCUCAGAAAUACAGGUUUUCAACUAGUGGAGCUUCAGUAAAUAUUGAUGAAUUGGACAUCCUAGAGAGGUGCCCUGGGGCAGCUCAACAUGGUGAGCCCCCUGACAUGGACGACUCCAUGGGAUCAGCAUCCAGAGUGAACAAGUUCUCAACAGCCACAGAGAAGCAUCACAUGAACUGUGGUGCAAGCAUUAAGAUGGCCUGAGUCAAGGAGCAGCUUUACUCUGAGAAGGCCUCCCCCUGACCCAAGCUGGACAGUAGAGCAUCAUUUAUUCAAUCAAUCAAUCAAUCAAUCAACCAAUCAAUCAACCAACCAAUCACUCUACGUUGCAAUUGGUGUUUUGUUUUUUUCUUUUUUUGAGAUAGGGUCUCACUAUGUAGCCUUGGCUGGUCUGGAACUUGGUAUGUAGACCAGGCUGGCCUCAUCCAGAUCUCCAUGUCUUUCUUCCUGCCUCCUGAGUGCUGGGAUUAAAAGUGUGCACUGCCAUUGUUUGACUAGAAACCUGGCCCCAAAGACUCCAAUAAACAUGUUGCUGGUACUGUAUGGCCAGUGCCAAACCCAGUGACCCUCAGUCCGCAUCCGCAGCAUUAGAACUGAGUUCUCUGUGUGAUACUGUCUUGGUGACUGUGAGGAAAUUUGGAGAGAAUCAGCCAAUUGGAGAAGAUACUGGUCAUAGCUGUCACAUCCCAAUAGACAUUUUCUCAGUUACACGUUCAUCUCAAAGGACUGAAGGAAGCAGCAGAGAGAUGGUCCAGUUCUCAGAUGGCCUUCAGCUUUGGCCCCCUUGGGCCAUCGAGGAGAAGUCUGCCUGACCCAGCGAGAAGUCUGCUUGACACUCUUGACGGUCUUGAAAGGUGUGGUAAAAAAAAGCCCUUGGAGCAUCUCCCUGUCAGCCAGGCCAGAGCAACAGGUACUGUGGGCUUUAGCAAGAGGACCAUGGAGAACCAGGCUGCCCUUCAACACUCUUAAGAUGUCUUCUGAUAAACAACCAACUCAUUGGCAUUCAAGUCCUUCUUUCCACAGGAUGCUAAGAAUCAGGUCUGCACCAGGCCAUCACACUGAUGUCAUAAUGGCAGCUUCUUAUCCUUUGUUAACAGCUUUUUGCUCAUUUCCUCCUGAGAGAUCGUCAGAAUGGGCUUCGGCAUCCAUUCGACCAGCAUGCUGGACAGGACCUUGAUCUCAAGGGAGAGCAAAGCCUUCCCCAUGGCACUCCUCACCUAAUGGCCGAGUGAGUCCUCUCCAGAAUCCCCUUCAGCCAGCGCCUUCAUGGCAAUGCUCUGGCCAUCUUGCAAACCCCUCAAAGUCUUCCCACCUCUCUCACUGCACCCUAAAGCCAGGGCUGCAUUUUUAUAUAUUUGUUUUACAGGAUUUCCCCCCCCCCCCCACUCCCGUUUUCCAACUAGUUUGUUUUAUUCUGAUGUCAGAAGAAAUAAAAGAGUUGUUUAAACAACAA